UACGUAGGGGGCUAGCGUUGUCCGGAAUCGUUGGGCGUAAAGAGCGUGUAGGCGGCCCGGUAAGUCCGCUGUGAAAGUCGGGGGCUCAACCCUCGAAUGCCGGUGGAUACUGUCGGGCUAGAGUGCGGAAGAGGCGAGUGGAAUUCCUGGUGUAGCGGUGAAAUGCGCAGAUAUCAGGAGGAACACCAAUGGCGAAGGCAGCACUCUGGGACGUGACUGACGCUGAGACGCGAAAGCGUGGGGAGCAAACAGG
rnacentral:rRNA from 1 species